UUGUGGCCACUAUCCCUCCAACCGACUACGACAAAAGAGACACAUACACGGACUCUAGGAGAAUUACGCAAAAGGAUGCUAGCUAGAUAACGAUAGAGUAAACCACACACAAGAUGCUAGUUAGAAUAUGUAAAAGGGUGUACAAAGUAAACAAGAGAUCGGGAGGCACAAACUCCCGGCGGAAAAACCUGAAAGUAAGCUUUGAUGCGCCCAGGUCAACUACCGCCAACUUCUACUCGUUUUGGCCGAUGUGGCUUUGCUCCUCACUUCCAAUGCAAAAAUCUCGCCUCGUUCGCCACCUCUAAUACCUACAAAUCACACACAAAAAGGAGGGGGAGAGCAAGAGAGAGCGUCAGAAGAGAGAGAGAAGUGGGUGGACUUACCGGGGAAGUCGCUGGAGAUAGGUGUCUCCGGCAAGGGGGUGGGGAAAAUAUAGGGAAAAAGUGGAGAACUACACACAAUUCACCAAGUUCUACCGUGGUACCACAAAAAGCACAAAUAAAAGUUGAGUCUUACCGUAGUUCAAUUUAAUAAAACAUAACUAAUUAGAAAUUUGAAUCUUAGCGUAGUUUCACAAAUAAAAAUUUAAUCUUGAGUUAAAAGAAUUAAUACACAACAAAAUUGGUAACGUCUAAAUAGGUGUAAAACAAAACCUUAACAAAUUUUUUGGGAAAAGAAAAUAUAAAUUGUAUAACGUUAAAUCCAGAAGGACAGAUCUUAGAAAAACUUGAAAAGGAACAAUCCUUAGAAUACCUUGAAAAAGAAUAGAUCGAGCUUAAAUAUAAAAAUUAUAUUUCAAUCUGUUUAUUCACGUAAAUAGCCUAAAAAGCUAAAAUCCCAAAUACUGCAGAGAAGAGUAAAGAAGGAGCGACGCCGGUGGUGGGACGUUCGCCGGAAAAAAAUACGUCGCUAGUGGUUAAGAAAGGGAGACAAGAAGAGGGGAGAGAAAGAUAAACGGGCUAGGAGGGAGAAUAGGGAGAGAGGAGAGAGAGGGAGGAGGGGGUGACGCUUACCUGGCCUGCUCGUUGUAGGUGCCGGCACUGGAGGGAUUUUCCGGAAGAGGUGACCUUAAGAUUAGAAGAGAAAAGGUAGCGUUAGUCGUGAGGAAGAGAGACAAGAUAAAAAAAGGAGGGGGGGGGGGGCUUGAUCCCCGAAAAUAACAUUACGUCAACUGCACAUCUAAAUUAACUUAAGCACGGAAAUACACUACAUUUUCAUACAUUUUUAUAAAGAAUAGUAUGUAGCUUAUUCUUUUUGAAACACUUGAAAUAUUUAUUCCCUCCGUUUCAUAUUGUUUGAGGUAGUUUGACUCGGCACGGAGUUUAAGAAAAAAAAAGACUUUUAAAACUUGUGGUCAUGAAGAUUAAGGGGUAAAAGGUUUGUCGGGCCAUACCAUUUGUGUGGCUAUAAAAGCUUAUUACUAAGGGCAACAAUAACAACAACAACUACCCAGUGUAUUCUCACCAGGUGGGGUCUGGUAAAAAGGGCAAAAAGGGUAAAAUGAAGCGUUUAAAGUUAAAUUAUUUUCAAAUUUAGAAAUAUGUCAUUCAUUUUAGAACAAACUAAAAAGAAAAGUAACUCAAAUAAUAUGAAAUGGAGGAAGUAGUAGAUUUGGAAAUGUGAACUUGGGAGGAACUAUAGACUUACAGUAUUUGGGUACUAGACUAGAUGCUGCAGGGGAUACGUAAAGGUGAGGGAAAAAGAAAAACCAAAAAAAGAAUGGCAAAUCCCUACGUGCACAGUGGUCAUCACUAGUUAAGGAUACUCGUGUAAACAUUGAAACUUCAGUUCGUGUUUUCAGGUUGUGCCUUAAAGUGUAAAGUUAACUUUUGUGCAAUAAUAAGAAUUCACCUAAAUAAUCAUCCAUUCAACCUUUUAAAUGAAAAUAAAUGUACUCCGUACUCCUAUAAUAUAUGCAUUAUAUUCUUGUGUAAUAUAUGUAUAUAUUAUGUAUAAUAAUACUAAUUAGAAAAGAUAAUUAAACAGUGAAUCCAAACGGCUAUUUGUAAGCAGAUCCCUACUUUAACCCUUGGUAAACCUAACAACGUAGUCAUAACUGGUACUAGCACAGUGGAGCCUACUAGCUUUAAUUUCAAUGGAAAUGGGAUAGUGUCUUGUCCUAUAGUUUUCUGAACCAGGAGCAGUUAUAUAUAUUUAGAUGAAGGAUGAGUUUAAGGAUGUUCCUUUAUAUGCUACACAAAAAACACCAUAUAUCUUCAAAGGGAAAGUCAUAAUUUAAUGCAUAUAACUGACCAUUACUCGAUCGUUUCAAAAUUAUACUCUUCAAGGAAAUCUAUUUACUUUUUGGUCCGUUCAAAAAAGAAUAACCCUUUCUGAUUUGGUAACAAUAUAGUUUAAACUUACAAUUCUAUCGUUAAAGAAAAGUUUUUAUAACCACACAAACACUCUAGCCCCUUUUUGACUCGUUUAGGACAACAAAUUCUAAAAGUUUAUAAUUUUUCUUAAAUUUCAUGCUCAAUCAAACAAAUUUACGUAAAUUAAAACGGAAAAAGUACUCUCAAUAAGAGGCAAGAGCAAAGGCAAAAAGCUUCAAUACUUAUUUGUUUUGCUAGCUAUAAGGUAGUUUAGGUUGACAAGAGGGGUUGCUCUGAUGGUAAGCAACCCCCACUUCCAAUCGAGAGGUUGUGAGUUCGAGAGUCCCCAAGAGCAAGGUGAGAAGUUCUUGGAGGGAAGGAUGUCGGGGGUCUAUUUGGAAACAGCCUCUCCACCUAAGGGCAGGGAUAAAAUCUGCGUACACACUACCUUCCCCAGACCCUACUAAAUGGAAUUAUGCUAGAUGGUUGUUGUUUAGCUAUAGGGUGGUUUCCUUGUCUGUAUUGGUUAUUGAAUGGUCUAAAGCUACAAAUAUGUUCUCGACUACCGAGGGUGUUUUAUUUUAGAGCGAUGAAGACAACGCGGCGGGCCUAGAUCGUCCCCCGUCAAAGCUAGGGACGCAAGAGGUUCAUGCGAAUUUCUUUUGUUACAUUCUAUAUGUAAGACUAAAAUUAUUUUUUUAUGUAUAUAUAAUAUAGAUAUUAAAUUCUAAUUGACUUCUUCACGUAUUUAUUUCAAUAUUUUUAAUCUUAAUAGUAAAAAUCAUGGUUUUGUCGCUGUCUUUCUCACAUAUCCUUUUCCUUUCUAAUCUCGAAGGUUUUCUGUAGGUAUUGGAAAAUCGAAUAAUUUAUUUUUGUAUCAGACGAUUGAAGAAAUGUUGCUAUCAACGUAUAUCAUCUAAAACUUUAUAAGACUUUAUUUUACUUAAUUAUGUUUUCGAAAUAUCCCCUCAUGCUCAAACUUGAUUUCUUUCGGAAAAUAUCUGUUCAGUUUUUAAAAUGCCCAAAGAUACUACUUGUAAUAUGGUAUGAUAUCAUCCGCGCACUUUGGACAAAACUCAGCACAAUUUUCUCGAAAGUCCUCAUACUAUUAAGAGUAUUAAACUCUUUAUAAGUAGUUUAUCCUUCUAUUUUUACUUUCCAUGAGGGGAUAUUAUCACACAUACGCAAUAAUUUAUUUUUUGAAAAAAUAAAACUGUAUAGGUGGUCUCAAAAUAAUAUAUAUAUCUAUAUAUGUAUAUAUAUAUAUAUAUAUGUAUAUAUAUAUAUAUAUGUAUANNNNNNNNNNNNNNNNNNNNNNNNNNNNNNNNNNNNNNNNNNNNNNNNNNNNNNNNNNNNNNNNNNNNNNNNNNNNNNNNNNNNNNNNNNNNNNNNNNNNNNNNNNNNNNNNNNNNNNNNNNNNNNNNNNNNNNNNNNNNNNNNNNNNNNNNNNNNNNNNNNNNNNNNNNNNNNNNNNNNNNNNNNNNNNNNNNNUAUAUAUAUAUAUAUAUGUAUAUAUAUAUAUGUAUAUAUAUAUAUGUGUGUGUGUGUGUGUGUUAGAUACAUUAAUUAUACAGUUUUAUACACUUUUUAAGCUACUAAAUGUAAAUAGCUUCUGGUAAGGACUAAAAGUGAUAAUAUCCCAUAUUUUUUCCCUUGAGCAAAGUUUCACAUGACCUAUCACAUUUUAUAUGCGUCUUCAAAGCUACGAGUAAAGGACGUACACCAGCUUGUAGACAAGCAAAAGCAAUAAGUCAGACCCCACACUACACUCCACCAUUUGUAUACUCGUCCCACCAAAUUAAUUUCUUUGAUAUUAAUUGUUGAGUUAAAAUACCCCAAAGCUACUCCUAUUAUUGUGUGAUAUUGUUCAUUUUGGGCUAAAUCCGUACGAUUUUUUCUAAAAACAUCAUAGACUAUUCAAAAUAUCAAAUUCCUUCUUUCUACUUUUCAUGUGUGACUUUAUGUACAUCACACCCAAGGGCAAAUUUUUAAGAUAAAUUAUGAUACACAUGAAUUUAUGGUCUUUCCGCUAUAUUAGGCAUAAAUGUAUGUAUUUUUUAGAAUUAAUCUAAUGUUAUGCUCUAUAAAGACUGAAUGAUGUAUUUGGUUAAAUAUUGGAAUUUUUUACGUUGAAGAACAGGGUUCAAGGGUUCAAUUAUCACUUAAUACAUGUUUUUCUAUUUUUGCUGGAGCACCCAUCUUUUAAAAUUUUUAGAUCUGCCUUGCACACAACCAAGAUUGUCCUUGUUGAUUUUUCUUAUGGAAAAAGUAGGUGAAAAUUCUUUUGUAAUUAGAUGGCCGUGGUAAGUUCAACAAGGACAUUUUUUUUCCAAGGAAAAUGUCCAUGUUAAUUUUCUAAUGGACCACGUAAAAAUUGUUUUUGAUAAUGAGAUGGCGGUGGACAUUGACAGAUAACCUAAUAGAAAUAUUAAUUAGCGGGAUAUCUCACGUUAAAAUUAAUUGAAAUAAACUAUUUUAGGAUGUCUUAACAUAAAACCAUAAUUCAAAUGGUUGUGCAGCUUUGAACUUCUGAAGUUGUCAUUUGACAAAAUUUAGCUGACGAAAUAAACUGUUAACUUUAACUUUAGUCACAUUUGCUGCUUUCAAGACUGUCAAUAUAUAUAUAUGUAUUCUCACACCAAAAUCAUCCGAUCCUUCAAAUCAACUGAUAACUUCUCUGCAAAGAAUUAUGUACCGCUAUUUGGUCAAUAUUUCUAGAUCCAUUAUUGCGUAAUACGGGCCCUUUCUCUGAUAUUUUUACCACCCCCUAAAAGUCAUCCUAUGAUAAUCUGGAAAGAUUAAUUAGUGGUGGUAUUGGGAAUAUUUCCUUUAUAGGUUAGAGUGAUAGUUUCAUACCCAUUCUUUUUAAUGCAUGUCGUAAUUACCAAAAAAAAAAGAUAAUUUCAUACCCCACCAAAUAACUUGACAAGUAUACACAAAAUUUCUAUGCACUAGGCAUUUCUCUGAACCAAUUUUGCUUCAAGAAAACAAAGAUCAUUGAAUAAAUUGUAAUUACACAUAAUUAAUUGCAAGCAUUGUGUUAUAUUGCAGGACCUUGAUUUCGUCAAGUUCCAAUGUAACCCUAAGGAAGAUUUUCUUUUAGAAAGUUUGAUAGACUUAGAGGGUGUUUGGAUUGAUUUAUUUUGCGACUUUUGGCUUUUAAUCAUUUUUUAGUUUAUGUGGUGUUUGACGAUGAUAAAAAGUGUUUUAAAGCAUUACUUUUAAACAUAAAAGUACAAAAAUAAGUCGAAGGCCAAGAGUUGGGUAUUACCAUCUUAUGACUUUUGGCUUUUAGCUUAGAAGCUAUUCCCCCGUUUCAGAUUAGAUGAGAUACUUUCCUUUUUAGUCUGUUCCAAAACAAAUAAUAUAUUUCUAAAUUUGAAAAUAAUUCAACUUUAAACUCUUCAUUUACCCAUUUACCCUUAACGAGAAGUUUUUAUAGUUACACAAAUAUCAUGACCCCAAAAAUUUUUUACCGCUUAAACUCUUAAGAUCACAAGUUUCAAAAGUCUUAUUCUUUUUUUUUAAACUCCGUGGCCAGUCAAAACUAACUCAUCCAAUAUGAAACAGAGAGAGUACUUUUUAUGAGCCAAUCCAAACAACCUCUUAGUAUUUCAAGAUUCAGGUAAUUAAAUCAAAGAUUUAGCAUAAUCCAAGAUUUACAAAGAAAUCAAAGAGGUGAAUAAAUUAACCAGGCCAAUGACAAUGCAACUUGCAGUUUCUCUGAAGGGCAUCAAGGAAUCACAUUGUCUGCCAAUUACAUCAAACGUACACCUCUCAGUGAAGUGACAGCACUAGCAAUCAAUUUAAUAGAUACAUAUAUAUAAACUUCAUCAAUAAAAACAUUUUAAAAGGCUAUCAAAGUAAUAUAUACAUGUAUAAUUCACCGGUAAAAACACUUUUAAAAAGGCUUAAUUCAAUUUGCAUGAGCUCAGUGCAUAUGAAAACCCUCAACGAAAGAAGUAUCUGUAAACAGAAUACUUCGUGUAUAAAACAAACAUUUCAAUCUCAGGCAGUAAAGUUGCAAAAGUUGGAAAGCUAAAAAGUAAAUUAAACAAGAAAAAGCAGAUCCACGAGAAAAUGCACAAUCUCCCAAAUGAAAGAGUUACGUUUUACCUCUUAGUAGACCCAUCCAGCAAGAAUCUGUAUUAGGUCUUAAUUUGAACACUGAAUGAGUAAAGCAAAAGAAAAUAUUUACUCGUAAAUAAGUUUAUCAACUUUAGAUCAACCAUAUAUGCUAGCUGAUUAUAUAUGGAAAAUGAUCAGCAGAUUUUGAAAAUAGGAGGCUAUAUAUAUAUAUAUAUAUAUAUUAUUUGUGAAAGAGAGGAGUGAUGAUUUAGAAGCUUGAAUUGCUUAUU
rnacentral:lncRNA from 1 species